UCGAUUCCCUUAGUAGCGGCGAGCGAAACGGGAAGAGCCCAAACCAACAAGCUUGCUUGUUGGGGUUGUAGGACACUCUAUACGGAGUUACAAAGGACGACAUUAGACGAAUCAUCUGGAAAGAUGAAUCAAAGAAGGUAAUAAUCCUGUAGUCGAAAAUGUUGUCUCUCUUGAGUGGAUCCUGAGUACGACGGAGCACGUGAAAUUCCGUCGGAAUCUGGGAGGACCAUCUCCUAAGGCUAAAUACUCUCUAGUGACCGAUAGUGAACCAGUACCGUGAGGGAAAGGUGAAAAGCACCCCGGAAGGGGAGUGAAAUAGAACCUGAAACCGUGUGCUUACAAGUAGUCAGAGCCCGUUAAUGGGUGAUGGCGUGCCUUUUGUAGAAUGAACCGGCGAGUUACGAUUUGAUGCAAGGUUAAGCAGUAAAUGUGGAGCCGUAGCGAAAGCGAGUCUGAAUAGGGCGUUUAGUAUUUGGUCGUAGACCCGAAACCAGGUGAUCUACCCUUGGUCAGGUUGAAGUUCAGGUAACACUGAAUGGAGGACCGAACCGACUUACGUUGAAAAGUGAGCGGAUGAACUGAGGGUAGCGGAGAAAUUCCAAUCGAACCUGGAGAUAGCUGGUUCUCUCCGAAAUAGCUUUAGGGCUAGCCUCAAGUGAUGAUUAUUGGAGGUAGAGCACUGUUUGGACGAGGGGCCCCUCUCGGGUUACCGAAUUCAGACAAACUCCGAAUGCCAAUUAAUUUAACUUGGGAGUCAGAACAUGGGUGAUAAGGUCCGUGUUCGAAAGGGAAACAGCCCAGACCACCAGCUAAGGUCCCAAAAUAUAUGUUAAGUGGAAAAGGAUGUGGCGUUGCCCAGACAACUAGGAUGUUGGCUUAGAAGCAGCCAUCAUUUAAAGAGUGCGUAAUAGCUCACUAGUCGAGUGACACUGCGCCGAAAAUGUACCGGGGCUAAACAUAUUACCGAAGCUGUGGAUUGUCCUUUGGACAAUGGUAGGAGAGCGUUCUAAGGGCGUUGAAGCAUGAUCGUAAGGACAUGUGGAGCGCUUAGAAGUGAGAAUGCCGGUGUGAGUAGCGAAAGACGGGUGAGAAUCCCGUCCACCGAUUGACUAAGGUUUCCAGAGGAAGGCUCGUCCGCUCUGGGUUAGUCGGGUCCUAAGCUGAGGCCGACAGGCGUAGGCGAUGGAUAACAGGUUGAUAUUCCUGUACCACCUAUAAUCGUUUUAAUCGAUGGGGGGACGCAGUAGGAUAGGCGAAGCGUGCGAUUGGAUUGCACGUCUAAGCAGUAAGGCUGAGUAUUAGGCAAAUCCGG
rnacentral:rRNA from 1 species